GGCGAACGGGUGAGUAACACGUGAGUAACCUGCCCCCCUCUUCGGGAUAACCUCGGGAAAUCGUGGCUAAUACCGGAUACGAGCGCUCAUCGCAUGGUGGGUGUUGGAAAGAUUUAUCGGUGGGGGAUGGACUCGCGGCCUAUCAGUUUGUUGGUGAGGUGAUGGCUCACCAAGACGAUGACGGGUAGCCGGCCUGAGAGGGCGACCGGCCACACUGGGACUGAGACACGGCCCAG
rnacentral:rRNA from 1 species